GUCUAUGGCCACACCACCCCGAACACGCCUGAUCCUGUCUGGUCUCAGAAGCUAAGCAGGGUCGGGCAUCGUUAGUACUUGGAUGGGAGAAAAGGAAGAGAGAGAACCUGAACACUGUUGAGGCACAUGCG
rnacentral:rRNA from 1 species